UAGGGAAUAUUGGACAAUGGGUGCAAGCCUGAUCCAGCCAUGCCGCGUGCAGGAAGAAGGCCUUCUGGGUUGUAAACUGCUUUUUGCCAGGGGAUAAAAUUUCUUUGCGAAGAAAAUUGAAGGUACCUGGUGAAUAAGCCACGGCUAACUACGUGCCAGCAGCCGCGGUAAUACAGAGGGUGCAAGCGUUAAUCGGAGUUACUGGGCGUAAAGGGCACGUAGGUGGUUAUAUAAGUCAGUUGUGAAAUCCCCGGGCUUAACCUGGGAACUGCAGCUGAUACUGUGUGACUAGAGUCGAAGAGAGGGAAGCGGAAUUUCCGGUGUAGCGGUGAAAUGCGUAGAUAUCGGAAGGAACAUCUGUGGCGAAGGCGGCUUCCUGGAUUCAGACUGACACUGAGGUGCGAAAGCGUGGGUAGCGAACAGGAUUAGAUACCCGAGUAGUCCCUGAGCGGGCUGGCAAGGCGCAU
rnacentral:rRNA from 1 species